GUGUUCACUUCAACAACACAUAUACUAAAAUUGGAAUGAUACUGAGAAGAUUAGCAUGACCUCUGCGCAAGGAUGACACACAAAUUUGUGAAGUGUUCCAUAUAUUU